GAUGAACGCUAGCGGCAGGCUUAACACAUGCAAGUCGAGGGGUAUAGGUUUUCGGACCUAGAGACCGGCGCACGGGUGCGUAACGCGUAUGCAAUCUACCUUUCACAGAGGGAUAGCCCAGAGAAAUUUGGAUUAAUACCUCAUAGUAUAGCAGUUUCGCAUGAAACCACUAUUAAAGUUCCAACGGUGAAAGAUGAGCAUGCGUCCCAUUAGCUAGAUGGUAAGGUAACGGCUUACCAUGGCUACGAUGGGUAGGGGUCCUGAGAGGGAGAUCCCCCACACUGGUACUGAGACACGGACCAGACUCCUACGGGAGGCAGCAGUGAGGAAUAUUGGUCAAUGGACGCAAGUCUGAACCAGCCAUGCCGCGUGCAGGAUGACGGUCCUAUGGAUUGUAAACUGCUUUUGUACGGGAAGAAACAUUCCGACGUGUCGGAACUUGACGGUAUCGUAAGAAUAAGGAUCGGCUAACUCCGUGCCAGCCGCCGCAGUAAGAC
rnacentral:rRNA from 1 species